UUACGUAGGGGGCGAGCGUUGUCCGGAUCGAUUGGGCGUAAAGGGCGCGUAGGCGGCUUUUCAAGCCAGAAGUGGAAGCCUAUUUUUCAAGGAUGGAAGUGCUAGAGACACGGCGGAGCUGGAGUGCAGGAGAGGAUAUAGGAAUUCCCGUGGUGGCGGGGAAAUGCGUAGAGAUCGGGAGGAACACCAGUGGCGAAGGCGGGUAACUGGACUGCAACUGACGCUGAGGCGCGAAAGUGUGGGGAGCAAACAGGAUUAGAUACCCUGGUAGUCCACACUGUAAACGAUGAAUGCUAGGUGUAGGAGGUAUCGACCCCUUCUGUGCCGCAGUAAACACAGUAAGCAUUCCGCCUGGGGAGUACGGUCGCAAGAUUAAAACUCAAAGGAAUUGACGGGG
rnacentral:rRNA from 1 species